GCUGCAGGAAGUCUCCAGGUCCUUCAGCAGCACGGCGAGGUCGGCCUUCUCCUGACCCGCGUGCAGGAACGCACGUAGACGACCGACCUCCACCGCCAUACAGUCCAAGGCACUCUGGGUAAACUGCACAUGGACACAACAGAUUCCUCACAGCCUGUUGGUGAUGUUGGUACUCACUCUGAUGUGAUCAGCCAGCUGCAUGGUGCAGUCUUCAUUCUGAUCUGCCAGGUGGAUACUGUACAGGUGCUGAGAAAGGAGUCAUUUUGUAGUAUUUAAUGGCCUUGGUGAGCGGCUCCACGUUGACAGUCUCGUCCAGCUGGUCUUUGUGCAGCAGGUCGAUGAGGAAAUCCAGAGAACGUUCAUGGACGCUCAUCUCCGGGUACAGAGAGCCGAUCUUCUUAUAGACAUCCACACUGCACUGAGCCAGAGCCCUGACACACACGCACAGAAUUUCCACUGCACCGCUGGAGAUCACCUGAUUUCUGUUGAAGUUUGAGUUUCUGUACUUGACUAUGACUAACGACUAUGUUUAUUGCAGACAAACUGCUAAUGUCUCUGCCAGAAAAGCAAAAUAUUUCUACUCCUGAAUGUAUUUAGUUUUUCUUUUAGUUUAGGUUUUUUUUUUUUUUAAUUGUUUUGUAUCAACUGGCAAUAAUGUAGCAAAACGGACAUUUACAUGAAACUGUUGCUGGUUUUUACAACUUAUCACAUUAAUGGAGGUUAAAUGCUCUAAAAUGAUUUAAAUUUUAAAUAAAAUAGAUUUAAAAAGUAAA